rnacentral:lncRNA from 1 species
UGACCAAUUUUGUCGUUUGCAGAAAAUUUUUUACGCGAUCCUUGUCUGUUUCUAACCAUUGAUUUCGAUAUAUGUGCUAGUUCCAAAUUAUAGAUCGUUUUGAUUUUUUAUUAUCUUAUCCCUAUAAGAUCUUCCUCCACUAGCAGGGCAAACAGGCCUAUAACAGAGGAGUACUUUUUUUAGAUAGCCUCGCUUAUGAGAGUACAAGUUGUAUUAUCUGACACAUAAACACACUCCACACACACCCGUCUAGGAAAAAUCAUAGAAAAUCCUCCCGAAAUCCGCUUCCGGAGAGGUCCGAACCUAGGACCUCCUACUGAGGCUAAUGCUACUUGGGCUUCCGGUGACCAACCGGUCCCAGACCCGU